AGAGUUUGAUCCUGGCUCAGGACGAACGCUGGCGGCGUGCUUAACACAUGCAAGUCGAACGAUGAAGCCCCUUCGGGGUGGAUUAGUGGCGAACGGGUGAGUAACACGUGGGCAAUCUGCCCUGCACUCUGGGACAAGCCCCUGGAAACGGGGUCUAAUACCGGAUAUUACCUGGGGGAGGCAUCUUCUCGGGUGGAAAG
rnacentral:rRNA from 1 species